rnacentral:rRNA from 1 species
AGAGUUUGAUCAUGGCUCAGGAUGAACGCUAGCGGCAGGCCUAACACAUGCAAGUCGAGGGGUAACAGAGGUAGCUUGCUACUUGCUGACGACCGGCGCACGGGUGCGUAACGCGUAUACAAUCUGCCCAUUACUAAGGGAUAGCCCAUGGAAACGUGGAUUAAUACCUUAUAGUACUUAAGAAUCGCAUGAUUUUUAAUUUAAAGGUUACGGUAAUGGAUGAGUAUGCGUCCUAUUAGCUAUUAUGUAGGGUAACGGCCUACAUAGGCGAUGAUAGGUAGGGGUUCUGAGAGGGAGAUCCCCCACACUGGUACUGAGACACGGACCAGACUCCUACGGGAGGCAGCAGUGAGGAAUAUUGGACAAUGGGAGCAAUCCUGAUCCAGCCAUGCCGCGUGCAGGAAGACGGUCCUAUAGAUUGUAAACUGCUUUUAUACAGGAAGAAAAAGGAGUACGUGUACUCCAUUGACGGUACUGUAUGAAUAAGGAUCGGCUAACUCCGUGCCAGCAGCCGCGGUAAU